rnacentral:rRNA from 1 species
AUUGAACGCUGGCGGCAGGCCUAACACAUGCAAGUCGAGCGGAUGAAGGGAGCUUGCUCCUGGAUUCAGCGGCGGACGGGUGAGUAAUGCCUAGGAAUCUGCCUGGUAGUGGGGGAUAACGUCCGGAAACGGGCGCUAAUACCGCAUACGAACUGAGGGAGAAAGUGGGGGAUCUUCGGACCUCACGCUAUCAGAUGAGCCUAGGUCGGAUUAGCUAGUUGGUGGGGUAAAGGCCUACCAAGGCGACGAUCCGUAACUGGUCUGAGAGGAUGAUCAGUCACACUGGAACUGAGACACGGUCCAGACUCCUACGGGAGGCAGCAGUGGGGAAUAUUGGACAAUGGGCGAAAGCCUGAUCCAGCCAUGCCGCGUGUGUGAAGAAGGUCUUCGGAUUGUAAAGCACUUUAAGUUGGGAGGAAGGGCAGUAAGUUAAUACCUUGCUGUUUUGACGUUACCAACAGAAUAAGCACCGGCUAACUUCGUG